UAAAACAGAAAAAGGACGCGCAAUGUGGCCAAGAACGGAAAGAAUAUAAAGAAAAGAGAAGAAGCGGCUUUUGCAUGUUCACCCUUGUUUGCUUAUCAUAAUUUCGAGAGAAUCGCUCACGCCGCUACACAAUUACGAGGCGUC
ensembl:ncRNA K03B8.16 ncRNA